ncrna:unclassified sequences TwoGGAY RNA
UAUGGAGCUGCCUAGAGACUGUUAAAAUUAUGUACACAGCCCAGCAACGCACGCACAUGGACGUGCGGGCGAGGCGUUAGCGCCAUGGACGGCGCUAAAAGCCGGUUGCGUCAUGGUCUAAGCAAUCCCUAAUCAUAAUUUUUACAGUGUCUUGGCAGCGUAAUCA